rnacentral:snRNA from 1 species
UUCACCGUCCUCGCGACUCGUUUAGUACCACAUGGCCUAGCGAGGAGGAAGCGCAGCGCAGCGAGGCUAUAAAGAGCUGGGGUGGCCACCUCUACAACUCAUACCUUUCUCGGCCUUUUGGCUAAGAUCAAGUGUAGUAUCUGUUCUUAUCAGUUUAAUAUCUGAUAUGUGGGUCAUGUGCCCACAAUGAUGUUAAAUUUAUUUUUUAUGGGGAAGGGUCCACCACAACGGCUUGCCAUUGGGAUCCUCGGGUGUCGCCCAGGUGUUGCACUACAGUCUGGGCUGGCGCACCCCAA